rnacentral:tRNA from 1 species
GCCGGAGUGGCGGAAUGGUAGACGCGCACGUUUCAGGGACGUGUAGAGGCAACUCUGUGGAGGUUCAAAUCCUCUCUCCGGCA